AAAAACGGUUUGGCUAUUUGCUGCUAGACACCGGACUCAAUUGUAAAGGCAGCUGGAAUAACAGAUUUACCCCGUUGUCUUUUCCCCUCCCAACUCAUUCCCUACUUGCCUUCUCAGGGCUAGCUGCUCGCACGAGAGAAGCGGCGGGGUCACUGCUGCAUCCCAGACAGCGCCGCCCUGGCCGCCGGCGCGCAGCCCCUCCGGCGGAUCUCCUCCCCAACCCACCUCACUCGCGGCGCGGGUCGUGCUUGACGGGCGACAGCAACCGGAGGUUGGAGGCACGCGACCUUGGCCUACCAGAGGGAAUCACCGAAACCUUAGAUGCCCAAAUUAUUGCAGUAUCUUCAUCUGAAACUACACCAUCCCUUUUGGAGCCUCUAGUUCAGGAAACUGUCGAAGUAGCCCAGUGACAAGAAGUAUGUCAAGAAAAAUGCUGGAAUAUGACUUGUCUACACCAACUAGAGCCAUGACACUAGUUUCUACACCAAGCCCUGUCACAAGAAGCCGUAAGAGGAUACUUGAACUUGAAGACACUAUAGAGCCUGUUCAAUGUCUUGCUUUAUCCCCAGUUCCUAUCAAUGGCAAGGGAAAGCCAAAAAAAAUGAAGGUUGUCAGAUCCAAGAAAACAUAAGCUAUGUAGUGAUAUUUUCCUGUAAUGUUGCUGUUCAAAGCAUGACCUUGUAAUAUGUGGUCUUGUAAUGUGUGGAUCUAUGGUUGGAGCAUGAUAUUUUGUUGGACCUGCUACUUCCGUUUGAAUCUGUAGUAUUAUUUUAAGAUAAAAUGAUAUUCACUUGCUCUAUCA